CGAAAUUUAAAAAAAAAUUGGAAUACUCGAACAAGUCCCGUUCUAUUUUUAAUACGUGUUUGAACUUCGAGAGUUCAAGAUAGGGACUUAAUUAUUAUAUUAUACUAUGAAAGUUAUAUUAAUUAUAAAUUAUUCGUAAGUUGUCUGAUAUGUCCGGUAAUGCCUCAUAACCUCGUUUCGGUAACGGUUUGGGGUUAGGGGGUGUUACAAAAAUGAUGAAAUGGAGAUUAUACUUAAGUAAAAUCAUAGAUAUGUGAUGAUUGAUUGGUGAUAUACAUGUUUAAAUAACAUGCAUGCAAGGUAUGUGUGAAAGAGUGAUUUGGUAAUAAAUCUGCUUGGGACAGCAGCAGUAAUGUUUGAAAAUGCUAUAGGCUAAAUUGAAGUGGCCAAAUAAAUAGGAGUGCAAAAUAGGAGGAUUUGCAUGACAAACCUCUCAUUUUACAUGAAGUGGCCAGCCAUCAU
rnacentral:lncRNA from 1 species